GGGACCUUAGCUCAGUUGGUUAGAGUGUUGGUCUCAUACUUGCUAUGAUCCAGUUAAACACUGGAGUAAUCCAAAGGUCGUGAGUUCGAGCCUCACAGGUCCCA